GACAGUGAACGCCCCCCUGUACUUUUCUGUUGGAGAGACGACCGGAGAGGUCAGCUCAAGAUCCGUGCUGUAUGCAGACCAGACAGAUAACCAGUACAUUGUGAAUAACUUGGUCAUGGAUAAGACUUAAAGCUACCCUCUCACAGCUGAGAGUUCAGGCCUAUGACACAAAGUACCGGGAUCAGAUCGCAGAGUCCAUUGUCAGCAUUUCGGUUACACGUAACAAGAAUGGUCCGGAGUUCCUACAGUCACCAUAUCGAGUCACCAUAAACGAGACAAUCAGCCUUGGUUCAUGCAUUAUCACUGUGUCAGCUGAGAACAACGAUGGCAUGACAGUAGUUGGCAAUGACAACAGUAACCCUAGCAAGACGGCCUUCGUGGAGGCUUUCAUCACUGUUGUCUGUGACCAGUUCCCUCCCUUCUUCUUGAACACACCAUAUUCUGUUGUCUUGAGUAUGGAGCAAUUGGAGCACAGGUCUUUAAUGUCAAUGCUACUGACAAUGACCUUGUGUUCACCUUCCGUGCAUGUGACAAUGGACUGCCGCAGAGAUGUGCCAACAGAAUGGGAACCAUAACAGUGACGUGAAAUGCCUUCCCACCUGUGUUCAGUAAUGUACCGUACUAUCGAGUAAUUGCCGAGACAACUGCCAUUGGCACCACAGUUUUGAGACCAGAUCUGAGACCUUGUAUUUGAGGCCAUCUCAACGAGAUAUCCCUUCGAGGUUAAUAGACUCUGUAAGCAGCGCUGUUACCUUACAAUAUGACAACCUUUACUACGGACCUGCUGCAUACUCGAGCAGCAGAGCUGUACAUCACUGGAUGUGAAUGGUGUAUGCAGCUAUAUAUAUGCCAGCCUGCUGAAGGAAAUAUCAUGAUCACCUUUCCAACGCCAAGAUCUGUGGUCAAGUCCAUGCGAUUGGUUGGUUGUAUGGAGGAAGCACUACAAACGGGGAAAAUGGGACCUCUGGUGUCACCUACAUAAAGGAGGACAGAUAUAGAAGGACAUGCUGUUCGAUAUUCAGAACCAUCGCAUCAUACAAGAAGGUUACCCUAUCAGCCAAUGCAAGAGUCAUUGUCUGCUGUGAUGCCAACAGACACAAGGGCUGCAUCUCUAACCUAGCACAGCAGAUACAGUUUCUAAAAAAUAACCUUAAGAGCUUUUCUGAGGUGAUCUUCAAGCAAAGACUGGACUGAGUUGAAGGGUAUCCAGUUUGUACAUUUGGUCAAAACUGACUGGUGUGAGUUUGGACCGGUUCUGCUGCUGGCUGUAUUGUAUGUUAGGUACAAAUCUAUUCCUGCCUGACGUCCUCAACUAUGUUCCAUCUGUAGAUCAACGAUUUCUCUUAUAGUUGCUGACAUUUGCUGACCGCUAUAAGUAUCGAUUGAGUACAUCCAGGAUUAUGUAUACAGUUUUCUUGCCGUACCUUGGUGGUGAUGAACAACAUCAGGUGAAGACUAGCACAGUUGAUGCAUCUGUAGAAAUGCGCUGAUGGGUGUUACAUGUAACUAACAUUAUACUGCAAUGAGCAGUGGAGUGCUCUCAGAAUUGGAACCAUCAACUCAGGCUUGACUAAGUAUAUUUAAUACAUGAUCCUCUCAAUGAAGACAGCCUGAGACAGCUGCAGGUCAACCUGUUCCAAUAAUGCUGGAGACAACUACAGAUGAGCUAGAGACAGCAGAAGAACCGGAUGAGGUAUAUGGAGAGCUUGAACAGUCCGAGGCAGCUGCAGUUGAACCUGUUCAAGUAACGCUGGAGACAACUACAGAUUAACUAGUUACAACAGAAAACCAAGGCGGGGUGUGUUGAAAGCAUGAACCUGUUUAAGUAACGCUGGAGGUGCUGGUAGAUGAGCUAGAGAUAUCUGAAGACCAAUGUGUGCUACGUGGAGAUCAUGAACAGUUGGAGACAGCUGCAGGUGAACUUGUUCAAGUAAUGUUAGAGACACCUAUAGAUGAGCUAGAGACAUCAGAAGACUAUAGGUGGGUGGAUGCAAGUGGUGAAAAUUUAGAAGAAAUCAACUCACUUCAAGGCAGCUCCAUUCCAGAUGAUGACUGCAUUAGAAAUUAAAUACUUGUAUUUGUGUGUUAUCCAAUGAUAAGUGAUAUAUAUUUAAUUUGCUUGAUUGAUUGGUUUGUUUGGCUGUGUGUUUGUGCAACAAUAUUUAUCCAUACAUUUGCAUUUCAUCAAUAGUUGUACAUCUACAAAACAAUGAUCUUUAUUAAUUAUAUCAAAUAUUAUUAAGAUGUUGAUUAAAGAAUCAACGGUUUAGAAACA